rnacentral:rRNA from 1 species
CGGAUUGAAGGCUGAAAUUCGCCUUCAUGAAGCUGGAAUUGCUAGUAAUGGCAGGUCAGCAUACUGCCGUGAAUACGUUCCCGGGCCUUGUACACACCGCCCGUCACACCAUGAGAGUUGGAAAUACCCGAAGCCUGUGAGCUAACUUAAAGAGGCAGCAGUCGAAGGUAGAGCCAAUGAUUGGGGUGAAGUCGUAACAAGGUAGC